UAGGGAAUCUUCCGCAAUGGGCGAAAGCCUGACGGAGCAACGCCGCGUGAGUGAUGAAGGCCUUCGGAUCGUAAAACUCUGUUAUUAGGGAAGAACAAAUGUUUAAGUAACUAUGCACGUCUUGACGGUACCUAAUCAGUAAGCCACGGCUAACUACGUGCCAGCAGCCGCGGUAAUACGUAGGUGGCAAGCGUUAUUCGGAAUUAAUGGGCGUAAAGCGCGCGUAGGCGGUUUUUUAAGUCUGAUGUGAAAGCCCACGGCUCAACCGUGGGGAGUCAUUGGAUACUGGAAAACUUGAGUGCAGGAGAGGAAAGUGGAAAUCCAUGUGUAGCAGUGAAAUGCGGAGAGAUAUGGAAGAACCCCAGUGGCGAAGGCGAAUUUCUGGUCUGUAACUGACGCUGAUGUGCGAAAGCGUGGGGAUCAAACCGG
rnacentral:rRNA from 1 species